rnacentral:rRNA from 1 species
GGAGGAAGUAGGGGAUCGCAAGACCUUGCGCUUUUGGAGCGGCCGAUGCCUGAUUAGCUUGUUGGUGAGGUAAAAGCUCACCAAGGCUCCGAUCAGUAGCUGGUCUGAGAGGACGACCAGCCACACUGGGACUGAGACACGGCCCAGACUCCUACGGGAGGCAGCAGUGGGGAAUUUUGGACAAUGGGGGCAACCCUGAUCCAGCCAUGCCGCGUGAGUGAAGAAGGCCUUCGGGUUGUAAAGCUCUUUCAGCCGGAACGAAACGGUCACGGUUAAUACCCGUGACUACUGACGGUACCGGAAGAAGAAGCACCGGCUAACUACGUGCCAGCAGCCGCGGUAAUACGUAGGGUGCGAGCGUUAAUCGGAAUUACUGGGCGUAAAGCGUGCGCAGGCGGUUUUGUAAGUCAGAUGUGAAAUCCCCGGGCUUAACCUGGGAACUGCGUUUGAAACUACAAAGCUAG